rnacentral:rRNA from 1 species
CCCUACGGGGUGCAGCAGGCCAGCACAGGAAAUCUACUGUUGUGCUCAACGAUGGCUCCCGGAUCUCGGGAACCAUCGUUGGCGAUUCUGCCGGCUACCUUGAUCUUAAGAUAACGUAUCCCCAGGUUAUCCGGAUUGGCAGGUCACAGGUAUCAUCCGUGGGGCCCCUGACCUAUCCGGUAAAAAAGAGCCUGAAAACCUCCGGCUAUUCCGUAAGGCUGUCAACAGAUUUCCUCUCGGGGAAAAACGAGAGCGGAAACCCGAGCAGCCUCAGUUUCAAUCUUUCCAACUGUUACCAGUUCAAAAACGGCAUUGCGGCCGGGCUUGGCUCCGGGAUGGAAGAGCUUGGAGUAGUGCUUGUGCCUGUUUAUGCAGAUCUGAGAUACACCCCGCUGAACUCUGCAACCUCACCAUUCCUUUGGCUGAAAACCGGUUACGGAUUUGCAAUCACUGACGAGC